UACGUAGGUGGCAAGCGUUGUCCGGAUUUACUGGGCGUAAAGGGCGUGCAGGCGGCUCAUGAAGGCUGUGGUGAAAGUCCGGGGCUCAACCUCGGAUCGGCCGUGGCGACUCGUGGGCUGGAGCACUGUAGAGGCGGGUGGAAUUCCGGGUGUAGCGGUGGAAUGCGUAGAGAUCCGGAAGAACACCAGUGGCGAAGGCGGCCCGCUGGGCAGUGGCUGACGCUGAGGCGCGACAGCGUGGGGAGCAAACAGG
rnacentral:rRNA from 1 species